CCUACGGGAGGCAGCAGUGAGGAAUAUUGGUCAAUGGGCGCGAGCCUGAACCAGCCAAGUCGCGUGAAGGAUGAAUGCCCUACGGAUUGUAAACUUCUUUUAUAAAGGAAUAAAGUGCGGCACGUGUGCCUUUUUGUAUGUACUUUAUGAAUAAGGAUCGGCUAACUCCGUGCCAGCAGCCGCGGUAAUACGGAGGAUCCGAGCGUUAUCCGGAUUUAUUGGGUUUAAAGGGAGCGUAGGUGGGUUGUUAAGUCAGCGGUGAAAGCCCGGGGCUCAACCACCGGACUGCCGUUGAAACUGGCAGGCUCGAGUUGGAGUGAAGUAUGCGGAAUGCGCGGUGUAGCGGUGAAAUGCAUAGAUAUCGCGCAGAACUCCGAUUGCGAAGGCAGCAUGCCGGCUCCACACUGACGCUGAGGCACGAAAGCGUGGGUAUCGAACAGGAUUAGAUACCCGAGUAGUC
rnacentral:rRNA from 1 species